rnacentral:misc_RNA from 1 species
UACAGAAGCCCCAAGCGUUACCCGGAUUUACUGGGCGUAAAGGGUGCGUAGGCGGUUAUAUUAGUCAGUUGUUAAAACCUGGGGCUCAUCCCCAGGAUCGCGACUGAAACGGUAUAACUAGAAGAUGUGAGAGGUAAACAGAACUCUCGGUGUAGAGGUGAAAUUCGUUGAUAUCGAGGGGAAUACCAAAUGCGAAGGCAGUUUACUGGCACAUUCUUGACGCUGAGGCACGAAAGCGUGGGUAGCGAAGAGG